AACGAACGCUGGCGGCAUGCCUAACACAUGCAAGUCGAACGAGACCUUCGGGUCUAGUGGCGCACGGGUGCGUAACGCGUGGUAACCUGCCCUUAGGUUCGGAAUAACUCCCCGAAAGGGGUGCUAAUACCGGAUAAUGUCUUCGGACCAAAGAUUUAUCGCCUUUGGAUGGGCCCGCGUUGGAUUAGCUAGUUGGUAGGGUAAAAGCCUACCAAGGCGACGAUCCAUAGCUGGUCUGAGAGGAUGAUCAGCCACACUGGGACUGAGACACGGCCCAGACUCCUACGGGAGGCAGCAGUGGGGAAUAUUGGACAAUGGGCGAAAGCCUGAUACAGCAAUGCCGCGUGAGUGAUGAAGGCCUUAGGGUUGUAAAGCUCUUUUACCCGGGAUGAUAAUGACAGUACCGGGAGAAUAAGCGCCGGCUAACUCCGUG
rnacentral:rRNA from 1 species